rnacentral:lncRNA from 1 species
GGGUAAAGUGCAAAAAAAAAACCCUCAAACAACUGGUUAUUUUUUUCCAUGUCAAAUUCUAGAUAAGAAUGUCAUGAGCGAUGCAGCGACAACCACAUAGCAGUUGCCACAUGAUAUCAAGUCGCGCCAUGGGCCCACACAUCCAGUAAUGCCAGUGCAGACACUUUUGUAAUCUGCCAUUGCACAGAGAUUUACCAACCCGUUCAAAUUUGACGACAGUGACCCGUAGCGCGUUCCCUUCCAAUCGGAUGCUACCUACAACAACAACAACGUUCACUAGGCCUGACCAGGCAAGGCAAUAAUUAGUGUCACCGAGCUGUGAGUCGUACCCUUUUCCCCGGCUAACCGGAGUGCUUGAAAGUGUUCACAAAAGAGGCAGGAAAAAACAGUUGGGUCAAGUCAGAGAAGGUGAUCCUGAUGGUGGAGGAUGGAUCUCGCCUUCCCUAUUCAUAAAUUCCCCAUCAUUUCUUUCUAAUAAACCCGUGAAUAUGCUCUGUAGAAGAGGGGCCAACUCGUCCACCGCCAACAUAAAUGGCUCACCUAG